ACACAUGCAGUCGAGCGGCAGCACGGGUACUUGUACCUAGUGGCGAGCGGCGGACGGGUGAGUAAUGCCUAGGAAUCUGCCUAGUAGUGGGGGAUAACGUCCGGAAACGGGCGCUAAUACCGCAUACGUCCUACGGGAGAAAGUGGGGGAUCUUCGGACCUCACGCUAUUAGAUGAGCCUAGGUCGGAUUAGCUAGUUGGUGAGGUAAUGGCUCACCAAGGCGACGAUCCGUAACUGGUCUGAGAGGAUGAUCAGUCACACUGGAACUGAGACACGGUCAGACUCCUACAGGAGGCAGCAGUGGGGAAUAUUGGACAAUGGGCGAAAGCCUGAUCCAGCCAUGCCGCGUGUGUGAAGAAGGUCUUCGGAUUGUAAAGCACUUUAAGUUGGGAGGAAGGGCAGUUACCUAAUACGUGAUUGUUUUGACGUUACCGACAGAAUAAGCACCGGCUAACUCUGUGCCAGCAGCCGCGGUAAUACAGAGGGUGCAAGCGUUAAUCGGAAUUACUGGGCGUAAAGCGCGCGUAGGUGGUUUGUUAAGUUGGAUGUGAAAGCCCCGGGCUCAACCUGGGAACUGCAUCCAAAACUGGCAAGCUAGAGUAUGGUAGAGGGUGGUGGAAUUUCCUGUGUAGCGGUGAAAUGCGUAG
rnacentral:rRNA from 1 species